UAGCUGAAAGAGAGACCUGCUGGCAGAGACAAGCACUGAGUCCAGACAUCUGGUGAAUACAGUGAGAGGAGGCUGCUGCUGGACUGACCUGGUUAAUGGUGUUGUGAGGGCUUUCCUGAGUUCGGACGAAAAAACCUGAACGAAGACUACAUGAACAUUAUACACAAAGCAGCACAGUAAACAUGGCUUCAACAGCAGCCCGUCUAUUGCCUGUGUGUCUCUGUAAAGAGACCAAAUACAGGAAGUGUGGGUGGCCAAGCAGGGCUCUGUGCAGUGAGGAAGUGGUUUUCGUUUGUGACAACUCGGUUACUGUGGACAUCAUUAAUAAAGUUGUAAACAGAAUACUGUUCCGGCUUUGUCCUAAUUACCAUAUGGCUCCAAAAUCCAAUCCAAGGAGGUCAGGAGGAGGGAGUCCAUUAAAAGACAAGAAUAACACUGGGA